UGCCUACGGGGCGCAGCAGUGAGGAGUAUUGGUCAAUGGGCGAGAGCCUGAACCAGCCAAGUCGCGUGAGGGAGUACUGCCCUAUGGGUUGUAAACCUCUUUUGUCGGGGAGCAAAAGCCGGACGUGUCCGGCUGUGAGAGUACCCGAAGAAAAAGCAUCGGCUAACUCCGUGCCAGCAGCCGCGGUAAUACGGAGGAUGCGAGCGUUAUCCGGCUUUAUUGGGUUUAAAGGGUGCGCAGGCGGAUUUUUAAGUCGGCGGCCAAAUCGUGGGGCUCGACCCCAUCCCGCCGUUGCAACUGGGGAU
rnacentral:rRNA from 1 species